CGGUGGACGGGUGAGUAACGCGUGGGUAACCUGCCUCAUACAGGGGGAUAACAGUUGGAAACGGCUGCUAAUACCGCAUAAGCGCACAGUACCGCAUGGUACGGUGUGAAAAACUCCGGUGGUAUGAGAUGGACCCGCGUCUGAUUAGGUAGUUGGUGGGGUAACGGCCUACCAAGCCGACGAUCAGUAGCCGACCUGAGAGGGUGACCGGCCACAUUGGGACUGAGACACGGCCCAA
rnacentral:rRNA from 1 species